rnacentral:rRNA from 1 species
GGUGAACGCUGGCGGCGUGCUUAACACAUGCAAGUCGAACGGUAAGGCCCUUCGGGGUACACGAGUGGCGAACGGGUGAGUAACACGUGGGUGAUCUGCCCUGCACUUCGGGAUAAGCCUGGGAAACUGGGUCUAAUACCGGAUAGGACCACUGCCUGCAUGGGUGGUGGUGGAAAGCUUUUGCGGUGUGGGAUGGGCCCGCGGCCUAUCAGCUUGUUGGUGGGGUGAUGGCCUACCAAGGCGACGACGGGUAGCCGGCCUGAGAGGGUGACCGGCCACACUGGGACUGAGAUACGGCCCAGACUCCUACGGGAGGCAGCAGUGGGGAAUAUUGCACAAUGGGCGCAAGCCUGAUGCAGCGACGCCGCGUGGGGGAUGACGGCCUUCGGGUUGUAAACCUCUUUCAGCACCGACGAAGCGCAGGUGACGGUAGGUGCAGAAGAAGGACCGGCCAACUACGUGCCAGCAGCCGCCGUAA